rnacentral:rRNA from 1 species
UACCAGCACCCCGAGUGGUCGGGACGAUUAUUGGGCCGUAAAGCAUCCGGUAGCCGGUUCUGCAAGUCCCCCGUUAAAUCCAGCUGCUUAACAGAUGGGCUGCGGAAGGAUACUAUAAGACUAGGAGGCAGGAGAGGCAAGCGGUACUCAGUGGGUAGGGGUAAAAUCCGUUGAUCCAUUGAAAGACCACCAGUGGCGAAGGCGGCUUGCCAGAAUGCGCUCGACGGUGAGGGAUGAAAGCUGGGGGAGCAAACCGGG